rnacentral:rRNA from 1 species
GGAGUUAGCCGGUGCUUCUUCUGCGAGUAACGUCACAGAUGUAAGGUAUUAACUUACACCCUUUCCUCCUCGCUGAAAGUGCUUUACAACCCGAAGGCCUUCUUCACACACGCGGCAUGGCUGCAUCAGGGUUUCCCCCAUUGUGCAAUAUUCCCCACUGCUGCCUCCCGUAGGAGUCUGGGCCGUGUCUCAGUCCCAGUGUGGCUGAUCAUCCUCUCAGACCAGCUAGGGAUCGUCGCCUAGGUGAGCCUUUACCUCACCUACUAGCUAAUCCCACCUGGGCUUAUCCAUCAGCGCAAGGCCCGAAGGUCCCCUGCUUUCCCCCGUAGGGCGUAUGCGGUAUUAGCAGUCGUUUCCAACUGUUAUCCCCCACAAAUGGGCAAAUUCCCAGGCAUUACUCACCCGUCCGCCGCUCGUCAUCUUCAAAAGACAAGCUUUUGUAAAUGUUACCGCUCGACUUGCAUGUGUUAGGCCUGCCGCCAGCGUUCAAUCUGAGCCAGGAUCAAACUCUGA